GAUGAACGCUAGCUACAGGCUUAACACAUGCAAGUCGAACGGAGUGGCGAACGGGUGAGUAAUGUAUCGGAACGUGCCCAGUAGCGGGGGAUAACUACGCGAAAGCGUAGCUAAUACCGCAUACGAUUGGAGCGGCCGUUAUCGGAUUAGCUAGGGUGUGGGUUAACGCGUCACCAAGGCGACGAUUCGUAGCUGGUUUGAGAGGACGACCAGCCACACGGGGACUGAGACACGGCCCAGAAUCCUACGGGAGGCAGCAGUGGGGAAUUUUGGACAAUGGGGGAAACCCUGAUCCAGCCAUCCCGCGUGUGCGAUGAAGGCCUUCGGGUUGUAAAGCACUUUUGGCAGGAAAGCGGUACCUGCAGAAUAAGCACCGGCUAACUACGUGCCAGCAGCCGCGGUAAUAC
rnacentral:rRNA from 1 species